AAAUUGAAGAGUUUGAUCAUGGCUCAGAUUGAACGCUGGCGGCAGGCCUAACACAUGCAAGUCGAACGGUAACAGGAAGCAGCUUGCUGCUUCGCUGACGAGUGGCGGACGGGUGAGUAAUGUCUGGGAAACUGCCUGAUGGAGGGGGAUAACUACUGGAAACGGUGGCUAAUACCGCAUAACGUCGCAAGACCAAAGAGGGGGACCUUCGGGCCUCUUGCCAUCAGAUGUGCCCAGAUGGGAUUAGCUAGUUGGUGAGGUAACGGCUCACCAAGGCGACGAUCCCUAGCUGGUCUGAGAGGAUGACCAGCCACACUGGAACUGAGACACGGUCCAGACUCCUACGGGAGGCAGCAGUGGGGAAUAUUGCACAAUGGGCGCAAGCCUGAUGCAGCCAUGCCGCGUGUAUGAAGAAGGCCUUCGGGUUGUAAAGUACUUUCAGCGGGGAGGAAGGUGUUGUGGUUAAUAACCGCAGCAAUUGACGUUACCCGCAGAAGAAGCACCGGCUAACUCCGUGCCAGCAGCCGCGGUAAUACGGAGGGUGCAAGCGUUAAUCGGAAUUACUGGGCGUAAAGCGCACGCAGGCGGUCUGUCAAGUCGGAUGUGAAAUCCCCGGGCUCAACCUGGGAACUGCAUUCGAAACUGGCAGGCUUGAGUCUUGUAGAGGGGGGUAGAAUUCCAGGUGUAGCGGUGAAAUGCGUAGAGAUCUGGAGGAAUACCGGUGGCGAAGGCGGCCCCCUGGACAAAGACUGACGCUCAGGUGCGAAAGCGUGGGGAGCAAACAGGAUUAGAUACCCUGGUAGUCCACGCCGUAAACGAUGUCUACUUGGAGGUUGUGCCCUUGAGGCGUGGCUUCCGGAGCUAACGCGUUAAGUAGACCGCCUGGGGAGUACGGCCGCAAGGUUAAAACUCAAAUGAAUUGACGGGGGCCCGCACAAGCGGUGGAGCAUGUGGUUUAAUUCGAUGCAACGCGAAGAACCUUACCUGGUCUUGACAUCCACGGAAGUUUUCAGAGAUGAGAAUGUGCCUUCGGGAACCGUGAGACAGGUGCUGCAUGGCUGUCGUCAGCUCGUGUUGUGAAAUGUUGGGUUAAGUCCCGCAACGAGCGCAACCCUUAUCCUUUGUUGCCAGCGGUCCGGCCGGGAACUCAAAGGAGACUGCCAGUGAUAAACUGGAGGAAGGUGGGGAUGACGUCAAGUCAUCAUGGCCCUUACGACCAGGGCUACACACGUGCUACAAUGGCGCAUACAAAGAGAAGCGACCUCGCGAGAGCAAGCGGACCUCAUAAAGUGCGUCGUAGUCCGGAUUGGAGUCUGCAACUCGACUCCAUGAAGUCGGAAUCGCUAGUAAUCGUGGAUCAGAAUGCCACGGUGAAUACGUUCCCGGGCCUUGUACACACCGCCCGUCACACCAUGGGAGUGGGUUGCAAAAGAAGUAGGUAGCUUAACCUUCGGGAGGGCGCUUACCACUUUGUGAUUCAUGACUGGGGUGAAGUCGUAACAAGGUAACCGUAGGGGAACCUGCGGUUGGAUCACCUCCUUACCUGAAAGAA
rnacentral:rRNA from 1 species